rnacentral:rRNA from 1 species
UACGUAGGGUGCGAGCGUUAAUCGGAAUUACUGGGCGUAAAGCGUGCGCAGGCGGUUCGUUGUGUCGGCGGUGAAAUCCCCGGGCUCAACCUGGGAAUGGCCGUUGAAACUGGCGAACUGGAGUGUGGCAGAGGGGGGUGGAAUUCCGCGUGUAGCAGUGAAAUGCGUAGAGAUGCGGAGGAACACCGAUGGCGAAGGCAGCCCCCUGGGCCAACACUGACGCUCAGGCACGAAAGCGUGGGGAGCAAACAGG